rnacentral:lncRNA from 1 species
CCAGCCUUUCUCCCACAGAGUGCUUUGGAGCGAGUACGUUUCUGUAACGCAGGACAGAGCCUGGGGAGGACUGCAGAGCAUCUGUUGGAAGAUGUCCUGUGCAACGACUACCCCUCCUGAUCCUGCACACCAUACUCUUUGAGCUACAUUGAACAUGCUGGAAGGAUCACAGAACAAGGCUGCUCGUGCAGAGAAAAGGAAAACACCCCCCGUUUUGCUGAGCCCCAGCAGGAUGAACAGAGGGAAAAGGUGCUCCAGAGCGGGAAGAAAUUGUGAAGAAAUAGGUUUGCGAACUCUGUUUAUAUUGGAUUGUUUGAAAUUUGUCCUGAGAGCUGCCUUCUGGGGACAACUGUCCUGCUCUGAAGGAGAGCGAGAGCAGAGACACAUGUGCAAGAGAAGCUGUGUAUGGGACUCUUAG